GCAAUGCCGCGUGAGUGAAGAAGGCCUUCGGGUUGUAAAGCUCUUUUGUCAGGGAAGAAACGGUGAGAGCUAAUAUCUUUUGCUAAUGACGGUACCUGAAGAAUAAGCACCGGCUAACUACGUGCCAGCAGCCGCGGUAAUACGUAGGGUGCAAGCGUUAAUCGGAAUUACUGGGCGUAAAGCGUGCGCAGGCGGUUUUGUAAGUCUGAUGUGAAAUCCCCGGGCUCAACCUGGGAAUUGCAUUGGAGACUGCAAGGCUAGAAUCUGGCAGAGGGGGGUAGAAUUCCACGUGUAGCAGUGAAAUGCGUAGAUAUGUGGAGGAACACCGAUGGCGAAGGCAGCCCCCUGGGUCAAGAUUGACGCUCAUGCACGAAAGCGUGGGGAGCAAACAGGAUUAGAUACCCUGGUAGUCCACGCCCUAAACGAUGUCUACUAGUUGUCGGGUCUUAAUUGACUUGGUAACGCAGCUAA
rnacentral:rRNA from 1 species